rnacentral:rRNA from 1 species
GACGAACGCUGGCGGCGUGCCUAAUACAUGCAAGUAGAACGCUGAAGAGAGGAGCUUGCUCUUCUUGGAUGAGUUGCGAACGGGUGAGUAACGCGUAGGUAACCUGCCUGGUAGCGGGGGAUAACUAUUGGAAACGAUAGCUAAUACCGCAUAAAAUGGAUUAUCGCAUGAUAAUCCAUUGAAAGGUGCAAAUGCAUCACUACCAGAUGGACCUGCGUUGUAUUAGCUAGUUGGUGGGGUAACGGCUCACCAAGGCGACGAUACAUAGCCGACCUGAGAGGGUGAUCGGCCACACUGGGACUGAGACACGGCCCAGACUCCUACGGGAGGCAGCAGUAGGGAAUCUUCGGCAAUGGACGGAAGUCUGACCGAGCAACGCCGCGUGAGUGAAGAAGGUUUUCGGAUCGUAAAGCUCUGUUGUAAGAGAAGAACGAGUGUGAGAGUGGAAAGUUCACACUGUGACGGUAUCUACCA